CUCACGCCCGGGUGAGAAGCAUGAUCCCGGGUCGGUUGGCGGAGCUACACCAGCA
rnacentral:snoRNA from 1 species